rnacentral:rRNA from 1 species
UACAGAGAGUGCAAACGUUGUUCGGAAUUACUGGGCUUAAAGCGCACGUAGGCUGCAUCGUAAGUGUCAGGUGAAAUCCCACGGCUUACCCGUGGAACUGCUUGGCAGACUGCGAAGCUAGAGUGUGGUAGGGGAGAGCGGAACUCCUGGUGGAGCGGUGAAAUGCGUAGAUAUCAGGAGGAACACCGGUGGCGAAGGCGGCUCUCUGGUCCACAACUGACGCUGAGGUGCGAAAGCUAGGGGAGCAAACGGG